UCCACUUUUCACUUUCCUCUUCUUUUAUUCUCUUUCCGUCUCUCUCUCAUCCUUCUCUUUCCGUUUCUCUCAUCCUAGAACUGAAGAAAGAUGGAAAAUCAGGGCUCUUCCAUUUGCUUCCACAGAUUUCUCGAUCUCUCUCGAGCUCCGGAUCGCUAGCCUCUGUAUGAAGGAAAUCGUCAAUCCUGCAGAAACCUUGGGUUUCCUGAUUUGAUCGGCUAUUUCAUCAGUUUUUCGAUUCGAUCAGGAUCGGGUUUUCACCCACGAAAUCUAGCGGCUUCUGAUGGCUUUUUCGAGGUUCGGUGAAUUUACAGGGGAGAGGGAGAGAGAGGCCUGUUGAGAUCUGGACUGUCGAAUGGAGAGGAUGAAAAGCAACUGCAGGAAAGCGGCAAUGGAGACCCGGCAGCAGCAUAUUCAAGUCGAUCUGUGUAAUCUCAUGGCCUUCGACCCUCAUCACAGCUUCCCCUCCAUCCCCUUCUCUAAGGAGGAAUUAGUGAAGAAUGUAUAACGAAAGGGACCGAGUUGGUUUAAGCUAUUGCAAAUGGUCUUUUCAACUCACAUUCAACUGAAGACAUAGACGGUCCCAUUGUGCAGUUGUUUGCUUCCUGAAACUAAACUGCCAAGAUAGAAGCAUGUGGAUCGUAUUUGAUUGAGAAUAAGAUACCGUGCAUUAUCGAUUUUGGUAUGAAUGUUGGGGAUGAGGUAUAUAUCUUAAAACUCUUCUAAAAAAAAAGUUAAGGAUUGGUACAUAGGAAAACAGCCAAAGAAUCCUGUUGUUAAAUUGUCCAUUCCUGCCAAAUUUUAAACGAACCGGAGCGUGUGUUCUUUGCAAUCUUAAGCCAGAAAACAUGUGGAGUACUAAGUCAGAAUGGUUCUUGCUGCUUCGGACAGCGGCCACACCACAGUAAGCAGCCCAUAGACCUUUAAUAGUUUUUGCAUGAUUAUUCACUUUUUGAGUGACACCAAACAAAGGACUCUACUAAUUUUAACUUUUGGUCUCCGACAUGGUUUCAAUUAAAGACGAUUGUUUUUCACAACAUAAUGUUAAACUUGUUGCUGUAGAAGAGUUAAUUUCUGGUAGACAGAUGAUUAUAGUGUUGUUCCUAUUAUGCAUAAGGUCUUGGUAAUAAUAUUGUUCAGGUGCUUAAAGAUUUGAAUUUUUAAAGUGGUUCCACAAAACCUGUAAAGUGGUUCCUCAAAAUCUGCACAGUGGUUCCACAAAACCUGCAAAGUGGACGUUAUGUUGCUUGCAGCAAUAGAUUGUUCUUUUCUGUUUAAGUUGUAAGCUUUGUUUCCCCUUGGUAACAAGAGACCUUGCUCCGUACAAAAAAGACUAGGUAACUAUUCUUUAUUAUUGGUUGUUUCAUGCUAUGAAUCUAUAUAGUAUAAAAAAUUUAUUACCGGUGAUAAAUUUGGCAUGUGUUAUCCAAAACAAAUAAGUAUUGGAUCACAUUUUUGUGUGUGUAAAUAGUUGAUCCAAACAUGAAUUAUCAAGGCGGAAUACUAGGUUAACCAUUUUUGUAUAAUAAUGAUAAGGCAUUUGAUAAUGCCUUUUUUUGUAAAUUAUAUAAACUUCAACAGCUUUGUAAAAAUAUUUAUUCCAUUUUCUGUUUAGUAUUUAUAACAUUUUGCAUAUUUACAUGUUAAAAACAUAAUCUAUAGUUAUAUUUUCGCUCCCGCAACAACGUGCGGGUAAAAUUUGCUAGUAACUUUCUAUUUGUAUUUGUUAUGGUUUAUAUUUUUAUGUUUUUUGGUUUCUUGGUUAUUUUGUGGGAGGUCGAUUAUAUGUCUAAACUAAACCAUGAUAAUAUUGUUAGAUACAAGACUGUAAGCUCUCUGUAUAUUGUAUUUUUUUUAAUGAUUUUUAUGUUGUUACUUUUUAAUUGACCAUUGAUCAUGUAUUAGUCAUUUGUCGAUGGUAUCCCUCGAAUCUACAUUUGCAGAAUCUGAUAUUUCAGAAGAAGAUGUUAAUCCUGACCAGUGCCAUUGUUUGUGCAUUGUUCAGGAGGUCUGCGAUGGUUAAGUACAAUAAAUAUUAUGAUUAGUUUGUGAUUUUAUGUAAAGAAUUUUGGUUUAAAAUGUGUCUUAAUCU
rnacentral:sRNA from 1 species